rnacentral:rRNA from 1 species
GGGCUUGACAUCCCACGAACCUGUCGAAAGGCAGGAGUGCCCGCAAGGGAGCGCGGAGACAGGUGGUGCAUGGCUGUCGUCAGCUCGUGUCGUGAGAUGUUGGGUUAAGUCCCGCAACGAGCGCAACCCUCACGCUUAGUUGCUCGCCCGCAAGGGAAGCACCCUAAGCGAACUGCCUCAGAUAAUGGGGAGGAAGGUGGGGAUGACGUCAAGUCCUCAUGGCCUUUAUGCCCAGGGCUACACACGUGCUACAAUGGCCGGUACAAAGCGUCGCCAACCCGCAAGGGGGAGCCAAUCGCAGAAAACCGGUCUCAGUUCGGAUUGCAGGCUGCAACUCGCCUGCAUGAAGCUGGAAUCGCUAGUAAUCGCGUAUCAGAACGAUGCGGUGAAUACGUUCCCGGGCCUUGUACACACCGCCCGUCACACCACGAAAGCCAGCUGUACUCGAAGUCGCUGAG